rnacentral:tRNA from 1 species
GGCCCCGUGGCUUAGCCUGGCGAACUUUUACGAAAGGUUCAAUCAAAAGAAAACUUCGUAAUUUUUAGGCAAUAUAGCGCACGACUGAUAAUCGUGAGGUCUCGGAUUCAAAUUCCGACGGGGCCA